AUUUGAAUAGCUUAUUUUUAGAGCGUAGUACUGAAGAUACUAAGGAGAUUAUUAUUAAUCUUUAAAUA
rnacentral:tRNA from 1 species